AGGUUAGAUUUGUUGUGAAGUACAGACACUGUGAUGGUAAAGUAUCAGUGAAAGUAACCGAUGACCAAGUGUGCUUACAGUACAGAACUGAACAUGCACAUGAUAUGAAGAAACUAGAACGACUCAGCAACACGCUCAUGAGAUACAUGGUAUCAAAAGAACAUUAACAACACAACAUCCUGUAUCAUGCAAAGACAGAAGAAUUAUACUAUGGAAGGAAUGAAACAACAACAUUCUGUUGUCAAAAUGUUGGACUGUAUGCUACAGACUGUGACAUUUGUAAUUGUACUCGGAUGAAACCAGAACAAUUGUGAAAAGUCGUACCUUCAUUGGUAUUCAAAAAUACCGGUACACUUCAUAGAGCGGGAAAAAUCUGCCACUUUAAGAUCAUGUUUUGAGCUCAAUAAAAUAAGUAAAAAAAGUCAA